rnacentral:rRNA from 1 species
AGUGGAUGGGGAGCAACCUAGUUGUGCGUGUGUAAAGGUAGUGCCAAGAAAAGCGAUGAUCAUGUUGAAAAUCAAUUCCCGGUACCCGAAACCGACACAGGUGGGCAAGUAGAAAUACUAAGGGGCGCGAGGUAACUCUCUCCAAGGAACUCGGCAAAAUGACCCCGUAACUUAGGGAGAAGGGGUGCCACCGAGAGGUGGUCGCAGUGAAGAGGCCCAGGCGACUGUUUAGCAAAAACAUAGGUCUCUGCAAACUCGAAAGAGGAGGUAUAGGGGCUGACGCCUGCCCAGUGCCGGAAGGUUAAAGAAGUUGGUCAGUUUUAGGAUGAAGCUAGCGACUGAAGCCCCGGUGAACGGCGGCCGUAACUAUAACGGUCCUAAGGUAGCGAAAUUCCUUGUCGGGUAAGUUCCGACCCGCACGAAAGGCGUAACGAUCUGGGCGCUGUCUCGGAGAGAGGCUCGGCGAAAUAGGAUUGUCUGUGAAGAUACGGACUACCUGCAUUUGGACAGAAAGACCCUAUGAAGCUUUACUAUAGCUUGGAAUUGUGUUCGGGCUUCCUGUGCGCAGGAUAGGUGGGAGGCGUAGAAGGUAUUCUUGUGGGGAUACUGGAGCCAACGGUGAGAUACCACUCUCAGGAGGCUAGAAUUCUAACUUAAUUAAGGACAGUUUCAGGUGGGUAGUUUGACUGGGCGGUCGCCUCCAAAAAGGUAACGGAGGCGUACAAAGGUUCCCUCAGACUGGUUGGAAAUCAGUCGAAGAGUGCAAAGGCAGAAGGGAGCUUGACUGCGAGAAGUACAGUUCGAGCAGGGUGGAAACACGGUCUUAGUGAUCCGACGGUGCUGUGUGGAAGGGCCGUCGCUCAACGGAUAAAAGUUACUCUAAGGAUAACAGGCUGAUCUCCCCCAAGAGUUCACAUCGACGGGGAGGUUUGGCACCUCGAUGUCGGCUCAUCGCAACCUGGGGCGGAAGUACGUCCCAAGGGUUGGGCUGUUCGCCCAUUAAAGCGGUACGUGAGCUGGGUUCAGAACGUCGUGAGACAGUUCGGUCCAUAUCCGAUGUAGGCGUGAGAAUAUUGAGAGGAGCCUUCCUUAGUACGAGAGGACCGGGAAGGACGCACCGCUGGUGUACCUGUUAUGAUGCCAAUUGUAAACGCAGGGUAGCCAAGUGCGGAGAGGAUAACCGCUGAAAGCAUCUAAGUGGGAAGCCCACCUCAAGAUGAGUAUUCUGGUGUAAGGUCACGGGAAGACGACCCGUAAAUAGGCACGAGGUGGAAGUGCAGAGAUGUAUGAAGCCGAAGUGUACUAAUAGACCGUCGGCUUG